rnacentral:rRNA from 1 species
UGGGGAAUAUUGGACAAUGGGCGCAAGCCUGAUCCAGCCAUGCCGCGUGAGUGAUGAAGGCCUUAGGGUUGUAAAGCUCUUUCGCCCGCGAAGAUAAUGACGGUAGCGGGAGAAGAAGCCCCGGCUAACUUCGUGCCAGCAGCCGCGGUAAUACGAAGGGGGCUAGCGUUGUUCGGAAUCACUGGGCGUAAAGCGUACGUAGGCGGAUGCUUAAGUCAGAGGUGAAAGCCUGGAGCUCAACUCCAGAACUGCCUUUGAUACUGGGCGUCUUGAGUCCGGGAGAGGUGAGUGGAACUGCUAGUGUAGAGGUGAAAUUCGUAGAUAUUAGCAAGAACACCAGUGGCGAAGGCGGCUCACUGGCCCGGUACUGACGCUGAGGUACGAAAGCGUGGGGAGCAAACA